rnacentral:snRNA from 1 species
GUGGUUGGCAGCACGUGGACUGACAUUGGAAUGGUACGGAGGAUAUUAGCAUGGCCCCUGGGCAAGGAUGGCACCCGAUUUCAUCAGUUCCAGGUUUUU